GACGAACGCUGGCGGCGUGCUUAACACAUGCAAGUCGAACGAUGAAGCCGGAGCUUGCUCUGGUGAAUUAGUGGCGAACGGGUGAGUAACACGUGAGUAACCUGCCCUUGACUCUGGGAUAACUGCGGGAAACUGUAGCUAAUACCGGAUACGACCCUCGGCGGCAUCGCCAGGGGGUGGAAAGAAUUUCGGUCAAGGAUGGACUCGCGGCCUAUCAGCUAGUUGGUGAGGUAACGGCUCAACAAGGCGACGACGGGUAGCCGGCCUGAGAGGGUGACCGGCCACACUGGGACUGAGACACGGCCCAGACUCCUACGGGAGGCAGCAGUGGGGAAUAUUGCACAAUGGGCGCAAGCCUGAUGCAGCAACGCCGCGUGAGGGAUGACGGCCUUCGGGUUGUAAACCUCUUUUAGUAGGGAAGAAGCGAAAGUGACGGUACCUGCAGAAAAAGCACCGGCUAACUACGUGCCAGCAGCAGCCGCAG
rnacentral:rRNA from 1 species